rnacentral:tRNA from 2 species
GGAAGGGUGCCGGAGCGGCUAAACGGCCAGGUCUCGAAAACCUUGGGAGCCCCAAAGGCUCGCGCGAGUUCAAAUCUCGCCCCUUCCG